rnacentral:lncRNA from 1 species
AACAUGAUUGAAUAGAGAAAGCAUAAGAAACUGAAAAAUAAAAUAAAUAAAUCUGUAUAAUACUAUAGAUAAGAUAGUUAACAGGCCAAAAGUCCACAAAAUAAAUAAACGGAUUCCUUUCAUUUUGGUUAAUAAACUUAUAUAAUCACAACAAGCUUGGAUAUAAAACAUGAUUCUGAAGAGUUGUACGAUUAAUAAUGUCUUGUAAAUUCACGAAAUUAUUUCUAUAUUUUGCAAAUGAUCAAGCAGAGCAAAUUCAGAAGUAUAAUAAUCUCUCAUCCAACAUAAAUACUGUAAAUUAAAAAUAUUUAAUAUUAAAAAAAGUACAACCCUUUUAAAUUUUUUUGAUAAUGGAUUU